UACGGAGGGUGCAAGCGUUACUCGGAAUUACUCGGCGUAAAGCGCGUGUAGGUGGUCUUAUAAGUCUGGUGUGAAAUCCCGGGGCUCAACUCCGGAAGUGCAUUGGAUACUGUGAGACUGGAGUACAGGAGAGGAUGGCGGAAUUCCAGGUGUAGAGGUGAAAUUCGUAGAUAUCUGGAGGAACAUCGGAGGCGAAGGCGGCCAUCUGGACUGUAACUGACACUGAGACGCGAAAGCGUGGGGAGCAAACAGG
rnacentral:rRNA from 1 species